rnacentral:rRNA from 1 species
GUUUGAAAGAGUUUGAUCCUAGCUCAGGGUUAAUGUUAGCGGUGCGCCUAACACAUGCAAGUCGAGCGGGAUUACUAGAAAGCUUGCUUUUUGGUAUGAGAGCGGCGAACGGGUGAGUAAUAUGUUGGAAUCUGCCCCCAAGUCAGGGAUAGCGAGAAGAAAUUCUCAUUAAUACCGGAUAGUCUCUUUGGAGUAAAAAUUUAUUGCUUGGGGAAGAGCCUGCAUUCUAUCAGCUAG